UUUUCUAUGUGGGAACCGAGCUAAUAUUUUUUUUUUCGUGAAUUUUUGUCCUUGAAUAUCACAUUUUUGGCGACAUUUCGGCUUGAAAACGCAUGUGACACGCGUUGAGCAUCAAGAAAUGCACACUGGGAAGCUGCUAAACGAGUUCCAAAAUGCUGAAUCUUGCAGCAAAAACGAAGAUUCUGUACUGCUUAUGUCUCGUCGAAGUCAAGAAACCUCCGAUCUCCAUUCACACCACGUUAUAAAGGACAUGGCAGGCAUUGCAUGCCCGCACUCGUCAUGCUCGUGGGAAGAAAUCUGACACCAUUCGGCGGCAUCACGUGGUCGUCGCCGGCCACCCGUGCCGGGAGUUUGGGCUCGAAACCCCACCACAAACAUCGCUUGUGACAGGCACCGCUUUGGAGUCGAGUUUUGGGUGUAAUAUGCGGCUGUAAAUGGAGAUGUUUUGAUUGUCGUUCCUUCUGAUGACGAUGCAGACCUUGGAAUCUACAUUACGAGACAUGAUGAAGAACUCUGUGAAGAAUAAAACUAUGGCCAGACUUGAACUGAAUGAAAAAAAUCCUUUUAUUUAAUAUACUUUAAAGAUUUUUAAUUAUUUUAAUAAUGGAGACUAGACAUGCAUUAAACAGAAAUGUAACCAUUAACAAAUGUACUCAGAAGUAGUCAGAAGAAAUCAAAAGUAAGUUUACCGACUUAGUCUUAGAAUAGAAUUACAUGGCUUCUGCUGACAACCAAGUACAUGUAUCAUCAAGCCAAUGCGAAACUAGAGACUUUAAUUGUUUAUUUAGACAAAAUCUCCUGAUUAAAUCGAUAUUACAGUAUACAUCUAGUGAACAAAAAUUGCAGUAUGGUUAUAAGACAAAAAUGCAUGGGUCUAGUAACAUCGGCUGUUCUAUUGGAUUCGAAAUUAGGAUUGCAGCAAGGAUUUAAUUUUUCAUUCUAGUGAUUUUCGAAUAAAAGUGUUUUAUUUUACAAAUUAUUUUGUUGAAAGAACAGAAAGCAAAACACUAAAACUGGUCGGUGUUUAAAACUGAAAUUGAAACUAGGGCUUUCAAAAAGAAAGGGAUGGAAAGAGAAAAUUCAAUGAAAUAAUUAUAAUAAUUUAAAUGAGGAAUAGGUCUACUGAAUACCAUUGCUACUUUUCAUAAA
rnacentral:lncRNA from 1 species